rnacentral:rRNA from 1 species
AGAGUUUGAUCCUGGCUCAGGACGAACGCUGGCGGCGUGCUUAACACAUGCAAGUCGAGCGAUGAGAUCACUUCGGUGAAGGAUUAGCGGCGAACGGGUGAGGAACACGUGAAGAAUCUGCCUUCAACUCUGGGAUAACUCCGGGAAACCGGGGCUAAUACCGGAUAUGAGCCUUGAUCGCAUGAUCGGGGCUGGAAAGUUUUUCGGUUGAAGAUGACUUCGCGGCCUAUCAGCUUGUUGGUGAGGUAAUGGCUCACCAAGGCGACGACGGGUAGCCGGCCUGAGAGGGCGACCGGCCACACUGGGACUGAGACACGGCCCAGACUCCUACGGGAGGCAGCAGUGGGGAAUAUUGGGCAAUGGACGAAAGUCUGACCCAGCGACGCCGCGUGCGGGAUGAAGGCCUUCGGGUUGUAAACCGCUUUCAGCAGGGAAUAAGCGCAAGUGAAGGUACCUGCAGAAGAAGCACCGGCUAACUAUGUGCCAGCAGCCGCGGUAAUACAUAGGGUGCAAGCGUUGUCCGGAAUUAUUGGGCGUAAAGAGCUCGUAGGUGGUUUGUUACGUCGGUUGUGAAAUUCAGGGGCUCAACCCCUGACUUGCAGCCGAUACGGGCAAGCUAGAGUUUGGUAGGGGAGACUGGAAUUCCUGGUGUAGCGGUGGAAUGCGCAGAUAUCAGGAGGAACACCGAUGGCGAAGGCAGGUCUCUGGGCCAAUACUGACACUGAGGAGCGAAAGCGUGGGGAGCGAACAGGAUUAGAUACCCUGGUAGUCCACGCCGUAAACGGUGGGCGCUAGUUGUGCGAACCUUCCACGGUUUGUGCGACGCAGCUAACGCAUUAAGCGCCCCGCCUGGGGAGUACGAUCGCAAGAUUAAAACUCAAAGGAAUUGACGG